rnacentral:rRNA from 1 species
UCGGGAAUUUUGGGCAAUGGGCGAAAGCCUGACCCAGCAACGCCGCGUGAAGGGUGAAGUAUUUCGGUAUGUAAACUUCGAAAGAAUAGGAAGAAUAAAUGACGGUACUAUUUAUAAGGUCCGGCUAACUACGUGCCAGCAGCCGCGGUAAUACGUAGGGACCAAGCGUUGUUCGGAUUUACUGGGCGUAAAGGGCGCGUAGGCGGCAAUUCAAGUCAUCUGUGAAAUCUCCGGGCUUAACUCGGAACGGUCAGAUGAUACUGCUUUGCUAGAGUGCAGAAGGGGCAAUCGGAAUUCUUGGUGUAGCGGUGAAAUGCGUAGAUAUUGGGAAGAGCACCAGUGGCGAAGGCGGCUAACUGGUCCGGUACUGACGCUGAGGUGCGAAAGCGUGGGGAGCAAACAGGAUUAGAUACCCCCGUAGUCCCUGAGCGGGCUGGCAAGGCGCAU